UUGUUCUCAUGUGACUGGUGAGGCAAGUGAGGUCUAGUGCACAGCCCGUGCCCCUCACGGCGGCGUGGGAAGAGUUCAACAGAGGCGACGCGGCGGAGCUGGAGGGUGCACCAGGCAGGUGGUUAGUUUCCUCCAAUGCCUGCCAGCUGUAUUAUGAAUGCUUCUCGUAUUAUUUUCAUUCGAGGGCCAGCUGGAAAGGGCGCCAGACCCGUCAUCCUCACCACCUUGGUCAAGUCGUUCCUUUUCGUUUCCCACAGUCUCUCCUGCUUCCUCUCCUCCGGCCUUGCCUGUCUGCAGGAAGCAAGUGCUGUCGGGGCUGUCUCCUCAUCUAAAUCUUUUCAGGAUCUGACAGGAGUUGGCCAAAUGCACCUCCACCAGGAAGUCCUCCUGACUUGCGCGGGUCUCCCUGAAACCUCCAGCCACCCAAAGCCUGGAGCAGUUACAGCCAGGGAUACACCAUCAGCGUGUGUGGGUCUGGGGUGGGGGCGGGUGAGAGGUUGGCCCCAUGGUGAGGGGGUCCGCGGCACGCCCGGGCUAGGGCCUGAGACAAGCCAGCAUCUGAGAGCAGCCUCUGCUUAACUGUGUCUGCAUACCUGCUCCCUGAGACCGUGUAUGUGCAUGGCUAUGAGUGUGCGUGGAAAGAGUGUGCACAGCAAUGGGAGCUGGGCGCUGGGCUGCUGUGUAUCCAUGUGCCUUGGUCUAUAGGCUUUUAUGCACCUCAGAGCAAGUCUGUGGAGCCUCUUCUGCCCGGGUGACUGGGGAGGCAGGUGGAGAGCUAAGGAAUUCUCUGAGUCCACAGCUCUGGGGGUCUCACUGUGUCAGUGGGGGUGCCUGGCUCUGCCAGUUUGUGUGUGUGGAGCUGUGUGCCUGUCGGGAGCUGUGUCGCUUGAUGUGUGCAUACCUCUGUGAUGUGUGAGCACGACAGUGUGUGUCUGUCUCUGUGUGUGACCGUAGGUUUGCUGAGUUAGCCGUGUGUCUGGGUAGACAGAGGAGAGAGGUGUGUGCGGGUACAGCCGUGUUGCCUGCCUGGCUCUGUCUUUCUGUCUCUGGGGUUUGGAUUCUGCAAACCAUGCCUCCUCUUCUGCACCCCUGACACAUAGGUGCACCCCACCCCUAGGAGGACCCAGGGUCACCAGCUCAGCCUGGUUCCUCUCUGGAAGAGGCAGGAAGAAGAGGGAGGCCACACUGUUUCUUAACACCUGGAGCCAGGCCCCAACAUCCAGGGACCGCCUCCCUGCCUGUCACCUGGCCGGCAGCAUCAUCCCUCUUCAAUCAAGGCGAUGGCCAGGGAAGAGGGAGGCCCAGAUACCCCCUCCAGCAGGCCUCCAGGACUGCUCAGAAGGGAGCGGGCCCAGUCAGCCAGUAGCACUCAGUACUCAAUGCUGGGCAUGUCGGAGUCAGAAGUUACGAACCAGCGGGGCUCUACCCUCAGAGUCGCAGUCAUGGCCACAGAACACACCCCCUCCUCCUGUGCCUCUGAAACUCACAGACCUUUCUUUUAGAGCCAGAGCCUUGGCAUCACCCAGGGGCCACCUGAAAAUGCAAAAGACUGCACCAGAUGUGCACUGUAACCAGAGUCCCCGGCUGAUUUGUGAUAACAGUAACAGCUGAGAAGCCCUGCUCUCAGGCGGAACCUCCCUGCGCCCCGGUUUCCUACUCUCUACAACGGGGACAACAGCAGAAGCGACUUACAGGGCCGACACAGCGUGAGGGUGAAUGGGGAUAAGGCCCGGGAAAGCUCUGAGCGGAGCUAAGCCUUUAUCUACAGAACCCUCCUCCUCAUUUUUAUGAAUAAAAUUCAGAACCAGAAAGAA